UUUGAGGAACCUUAGCUUAAUAUUUUAUCAACAAGUUGUUAUUGAUAAUUUCAAUCUAAUACAUGUUAAAACUAUGUUCAUGUAAUGAAAAUUUUAUGACAUGCCGUCCACUUAUGAAAUUUUAUUCAACGCUAAUCAUGGAUUGGAAGUUUUAGAGAAUACAUUGAAAAAGAUGGAGAGAAUAGCAUAUUUAAGCAAUUUUUAUCCAAAACGAAGCAUCUAUCAAAGAAAGUGGCCCAACCGAUUACUACUAAGCCGUUCCAUAGACCUAGAAGAAGGAUUGAACAAUUUAAAAAUUGGGAUUACGAGUUUACAAGUAACUUACAUCAAAUGUUACUUUAUAUCAAAGUAUUUGAUGGACUAAAUUCAUAAUUUAUUAGUGAACUUGGUACAGCUGUUGAUGAUUUAAAUAUAUCUUUUUCUGAGUAUGUAUUGCAAGUUACAGCUUGGCCUUCAGGAUCAACAGCUACAUCAUGAUUUGUUUUUCCUGAACUACUGAAACUUUGUGAAUAUAAUUUUGAAUUGUUCUACCAAAAAAGUUUUAAUAGACGGAAGUUAACAUGACUUGAUCACCAAUUUUGGGGCGACUUAAAAUUUUAUUAUUUACAAAAAAACGUAUUUGGUGACAAUGCGGACAAUUUAAGUGUGAUACAUUGAAAUACUCUGAAAUGUACUUCAACUCACUAAUGAACAAUUUGAAAAACACAUUAAUGGAUUAUUAUGAUGAAAUACAAAUUUGCUGAGCAAGAACCCAAUUUCAAUAACACAGAGGGCACCAACAUAUUAUUUAAAUUGCAACGAAACACAUAACUUAUUUGGACUUCAGUAUCUUUUCUGAAUGGAAAGUGAAUAUAGUUGGAUGCAUAUAAUAGGUUAAAAUUGAAAAUUCACAUUAUAAAAGAUACAUAGCCACUAUUUUUCAUAAAUAUUUAAAGCUCACAUUUUUACAAAAUUUAUCAACAAUUUGCAAAUUAUUUUGUAGUUAAAAACAUAUAAAAUGUUCAAUAGUCAAGGGUUAACAGUUGUCUAGGCUUUUCAUUAGUAUUUCAUACUGUACCUACUUAAAGCUUUUAAAGUAUAUCAAAUUAAAUGUUUUUAGUAAAAAUUAAUUCAAUCUACUGUUUUACUUAAAGUAGAAAAAAUUGCUUUAAUGGCAAUACCAUAAAAUGUAGGUACAUAUAUUGUAAUAUUAUAGGCUGACAGUCUUUGGUUCUUUGCUCAGAAUUGUUUUUUUUGUAUAAAAUAAUUUUAUGUCAUUAAAUUAAGUUUAACACAUCCAUAAUACUUAGACACCAGCCACCAGCCACAUGAAACAUAAUAUAUAGCAAAGCGUUACCCACAUGCCCACCUUUAUAUUAUUAUUUUAAUUUAUUAAAUUCAAGGAAUUACAUUGAAAUUAUUAGUUUUCUUUAUUCACUGUCAUUUUGACAAAUCACAUACCUAAUUGAUAAAU